UCCCUAAUGACCCAGAUGGUAAAGAAUCUGCCUGAAAUGCAGGAGAUCCAGGUUCGAUCCCUGGGUUGGGAA
rnacentral:tRNA from 1 species